GUUCCUGUCGCGCAAUGGAUAGCGCGUUGGACUUCUAAUUUAAAGUUCGUGGAUUCGAAUUCCACCUGGAAUG